rnacentral:rRNA from 1 species
AAAUUGAAGAGUUUGAUCAUGGCUCAGAUUGAACGCUGGCGGCAGGCCUAACACAUGCAAGUCGAACGGUAACAGGAAUCAGCUUGCUGAUUCGCUGACGAGUGGCGGACGGGUGAGUAAUGUCUGGGAAACUGCCUGAUGGAGGGGGAUAACUACUGGAAACGGUAGCUAAUACCGCAUAACGUCGCAAGACCAAAG